rnacentral:rRNA from 1 species
AAUAGAUACCCCGGUAGUCCACGCCGUAAACGAUGAGUGCUAAGUGUUGGAGGGUUUCCGCCCUUCAGUGCUGCAGCUAACGCAUUAAGCACUCCGCCUGGGGAGUACGGUCGCAAGACUGAAACUCAAAGGAAUUGACGGGGGCCCGCACAAGCGGUGGAGCAUGUGGUUUAAUUCGAAGCAACGCGAAGAACCUUACUAGGUCUUGACAUCUCCUGACCGCCCUGGAGACAGGGUCUUCCCUUCGGGGACAGGAUGACAGGUGGUGCAUGGUUGUCGUCAGCUCGUGUCGUGAGAUGUUGGGUUAAGUCCCGCAACGAGCGCAACCCUUGGUUCUAGUUGCCAGCAUUCAGUUGGGCACUCUAGAGCGACUGCCGGCGACAAGUCGGAGGAAGGUGGGGAUGACGUCAAAUCAUCAUGCCCCUUAUGGCCUGGGCUACACACGUGCUACAAUGGAUGGUACAAAGGGCAGCAAAGCGGCGACGCAUGAGCGAAUCCCAGAAAACCAUUCUCAGUUCGGAUUG